rnacentral:sRNA from 1 species
CAAGGUAUGGAUGUUGCGCUAGUUGUAAACAAAUACUUGUAUUGCAUUUUUUAAAAUGAAUACGAUGGUAUGUUUACAAUCAUUAUUAUGACAGUGACCUGUGUGAGAACAUUGUUUUGUGGUUUCGUCUUUUUCUAUUGCUUUAAUCUUAUUGAGUGUCAGGAAACAGGAAAUUUAAAAAAUAUUCUAAACGAAAUAUUUGAAACACAGAAAUACGACAAACGAAUACGCCCUGUGAGAAACGAGUCCCGAUCAAUUGAUGUCAGCGUUUCUUUGUUUGUUUUAGGGAUAAAUUACCUGAAUGAGAAAACCGGGGUUUUUUCCGUAACAGGGUUUCUUUUGGUACGUUGGAGAGAUGAGUUUCUUGUUUGGGAGCCUAAACUAUACAACAACGUGUCUUCGUUUACCAUACCCCAAGAUAGCAUUUGGAUACCUGACUUAUUUCUCAGGAAUGGGGUAAAAGAAGCAACUGGUUUAGGUGGAGAUUUCUAUUAUUUACCCGUCAGUUAUACGGGCGACGUCAUAUGGUGGCCGUUCUCGGUCUUUAAUGCUCACUGCCAAGUUAAUGUCGCUUUUUUUCCGUUUGAUACCCAAACCUGCCGACUGUUGUUUUCUAUUUGGAACCAUAUGUAUAAGCAAGUAAACAUUGCAAAAACGGAAUAAUACGUGGGUACAUACCAUUUCUUUGAAAACGGAAUAUGGUCUAUUGCAGAAAACAAAAGUUAUAUAGAGCUGGACGAAGUUGGGGAAUACAGCCAGCUCAAUAUUUCAUUUACCUUGAAAAGGAAGAGUUGGUUUUAUCUUUGGAAUUUAAUUAUUCCCAUAAUUCUGUUGGGAUUUUUGAAGAUCUUUGCGUUCCUUGUUCCUGCUGAAAGUGGAGAGAAGGUUUCAUUUGCGGUGACCCUUUUCCUGUCGUACGGGGUAUUUCUGAACUUGCUCACCUCAUCUUUGCCUGAGAAUUCGGACUCGGUUUGUCUGGUUUGCUCAUAUAUGGUGAUUCAACUAACUCUCGGAGUCCUGCUUAUCGUCAUUGUAAACAUGCAGGUACUAAUCUGUAAUCGAGAGAAACACCUCCUAUUUUCGCGAUAUGAAAUGCGUCUGAUACUGCUUUUCAAGAAGAAAUCUCUACAAGGAUGCAACAGAGGACUCAACGUAAGGAAUACCGAUUGGACGCUAUUGUCGUCUGCUAUUGACAAAAUGAUGUUGAUUGUAAUGACAACAUUUGAGUUCUUUUUGAUAAUUGUAUUCUUUGUUAUGUUCUAUGUAAAUGUUUAGAAUGCAGCAAAUCGUCGAAGAGUUUGGUCUUGUAAAUCCAAGAGAGAUAAAAUUGUAUAUGUAAGUAUAAUUAUUUACUAAAACGUAUUUUUAAAAAUGUAAAAGAACAGAUAACCCUUCUG